rfam:Octopus bimaculoides Scaffold46352_contig_20, whole genome shotgun sequence.
CGCUUUGCGCAUAGGCGGUACCAUAGCCAAUGAGGGUUAUCCGAGGCGUGGUUAUUGCUAGUUGAAAACUGGUACUUAAUUUAUCGACCACGAAAGGCAAAGUCGACCUCGGCGGAAUUUGAACUUAGAACGUGAA